AUGGUUUUGGACGGGAUGAAAAUGAUGGAAGGAGGGGCGAACCUCCAUGCGAUGGGCCGCCUCCAUGGAGAUGGAGCUCCUUCUCCAUCACGGCCACCUGGACUCGCCUCGCCGCUCCAUGGACUCGUCUCGCCGCCGCUUGGUGUGUGUGCCGCCGUCGUCGCCUGUUGGCCCUCACCAGGAAGGAGAUGAUAGAUUGGGCCAGACACGUCCGCGUGGAGGAGUGCCACCGGCUAGCGCGUGCGGCUCUACGUCUGCGGCACCAUCCUUGGAUACAAUAAGCUUAUUGCGUGCUACACUGGUCCAACAAGUAGUGUAUUGGUUUCAUAUCAGCAUAGCUUCCCAAUUCAUAUAUGGAGUUCAGCAUAUCAGGAAAUAAAUGACCUUUGCCAAAUAAUGCAGUUGAGGGGACUUCUGAAUGUUACUUUUCGAAUAGCGAGAAGGAGGAUUAUUGAUAUAUGCACCGGACAAUGGAAUGAUUCACGUCGUUCAUCAAUCAAUGCUAGGCUCUGUAUUAUCCAAGAUAUUAGUACUUGGAUGUGUUCUUUUCUCAUGGAUGUCUUGCCCAUCCUAGUAGAGACCAAUAAAUAAACAAAUGUGUCAGAGCCACAAGAGGUUGAUGAAGCUGGUGAGAAGGGAAAGGGAUAGAUUGGGCGCUAUGCGGAAGCGACGACAGCCU